UAGUCGAACGAGGUCCAUCCGAUCUUCGGAUUGGUGAAGACCUAGUGGCGAACGGGUGCGUAACACGUGAGAAACCUGCCCCGGUCUCUGGGAUAACAGUCGGAAACGACUGCUAAUACCGGAUACCGUCGGACCACCGCAUGGUGCACCGACGAAAGGGUUACCGGAUUGGGAGGGUCUCGCGGCCUAUCAGCUUGUUGGUGAGGUAACGGCUCACCAAGGCAUCGACGGGUAGCUGGUCUGAGAGGAUGAUCAGCCACACUGGGACUGAGACACGGCCCAGACUCCUACGGGAGGCAGCAGUGGGGAAUAUUGCACAAUGGGCGAAAGCCUGAUGCAGCAACGCCGCGUGCGGGAAGAAGGCCCUAGGGUUGUAAACCGCUUUCAGCAGGGAAGAAAAUGACGGUACCUGCAGAAGAAGGUGCGGCCAACUACGUGCCAGCAGCCGCGGUGACACGUAGGCACCAAGCGUUAUCCGGAUUUAUUGGGCGUAAAGAGCUCGUAGGCGGUUCCGUAAGUCGGGUGUGAAAACUCUGGGCUCAACCCAGAGAGGCCACUCGAUACUGCUGUGACUAGAGUGCGGUAGGGGAGCGGGGAAUUCAUGGUGUAGCGGUGAAAUGCGCAGAUAUCAUGAGGAACACCAGUGGCGAAGGCGCCGCUCUGGGCCGUAACUGACGCUGAGGAGCGAAAGCAUGGGUAGCAAACAGGAUUAGAUACCCUGGUAGUCCAUGCCGUAAACGUUGGGCACUAGGUGUGGGUCUCAACCACGAGAUCCGCGCCGUCGCUAACGCAUUAAGUGCCCCGCCUGGGGAGUACGGCGCAAGGCUAAAACUCAAAGGAAUUGACGGGGGCUCGCACAAGCAGCGGAGCGUGUUGCUUAAUUCGAUGCAACGCGAAGAAUCUUACCUGGGUUUGACAUGUAGGGAAAAGCUCUAGAGAUAGGUGUCCUUCGGGCCUUACACAGUGUGCAUGGCUGUCGUCAGCUCGUGUCGUGAGAUGUUGGGUCAGUCCCGCACGAGCGCAAUCUUAUCUAUGUGCAGCAUUUAGUGGACUCGUAGAGACUGCGGGUCACUCGAGGAGUGGGGAUGACGUCAGUCAUCAUGCCCUUUAUGCAGGCUGCAAACACGCUUACAUUGUCUGUACAAAGGCGUGCGAACUGCGAGGGCCACGAUUCCCUAAACCCAGGCCUCAGUUUCGAAUGAAGAGAUGUCA
rnacentral:rRNA from 1 species